CCCCUGUGAACAUACCACUUGUUGCCUCGGCGGAUCAGCCCGCUCCCGGUAAAACGGGACGGCCCGCCAGAGGACCCCUAAACUCUGUUUCUAUAUGUAACUUCUGAGUAAAACCAUAAAUAAAUCAAAACUUUCAACAACGGAUCUCUUGGUUCUGGCAUCGAUGAAGAACGCAGCAAAAUGCGAUAAGUAAUGUGAAUUGCAGAAUUCAGUGAAUCAUCGAAUCUUUGAACGCACAUUGCGCCCGCCAGUAUUCUGGCGGGCAUGCCUGUUCGAGCGUCAUUUCAACCCUCAAGCACAGCUUGGUGUUGGGACUCGCGUUAAUUCGCGUUCCUCAAAUUGAUUGGCGGUCACGUCGAGCUUCCAUAGCGUAGUAGUAAAACCCUCGUUACUGGUAAUCGUCGCGGCCACGCCGUUAAACCCCCAACUUCUGAAUGUUGACCUCGGAUCAGGUAGGAAUACCCGCUGAACUUAAGCAUAUCAA
rnacentral:rRNA from 1 species